GUUUCUUCGGUCUGGGUCAUGGUUGUUCCAUUUGAGUUUAUGUAUGAGUAUGAACAUUGUGUUGUAGGAACAAAGCCAUGAUCAUCAGGAUUUCCGCAUUUUGUUUAAAGGAAUAUUAAUGGAGAAAAUCUCCAACAUAUAUGCCCACAUAACAAAUAAUUUAAGGCCAUAAUUAUACCAAUAACAAUGACAAGGGCAAAAAGGAUUAAAGAAGAAAGUCAUUAAGUUAGAACGAUAAUCCUAAGGGUCACCCCACAAGUGAAAGACCCAAAAAGAAAGAAAGAAUGGAGCGAAGCAAUAAUGAAACAAU
rnacentral:lncRNA from 1 species